GACGGAGGGGGCUAGCGUUGUUCGGAAUUACUGGGCGUAAAGCGUGCGUAGGCGGCCUUUCAAGUUGGGUGUGAAAGCCCGGGGCUCAACCCCGGAAAUGCGCCCAAGACUGUUUGGCUCGAGACCCGGAGAGGUGAGUGGAACUCCCAGUGUAGAGGUGAAAUUCGUAGAUAUUGGGAAGAACACCAGUGGCGAAGGCGGCUCACUGGACGGGUACUGACGCUGAGGCACGAAGGUCAGGGGAGCAAACGGG
rnacentral:rRNA from 1 species